GCGGCGAGCGAACGGGGAGCAGCCCAGAGCCUGAAUCAGUGUGUGUGUUAGUGGAAGCGUCUGGAAAGGCGUGCGAUACAGGGUGACAGCCCCGUACACAAAAAUGCACAUGCUGUGAGCUCGAUGAGUAGGGCGGGACACGUGGUAUCCUGUCUGAAUAUGGGGGGACCAUCCUCCAAGGCUAAAUACUCCUGACUGACCGAUAGUGAACCAGUACCGUGAG
rnacentral:rRNA from 1 species